UACACCAACUACAGGGGCCAGAGCCAUAAACAGGCUAGAUUUAUUAAGUAUUAAGUAUUCUUUUUACUAAAAAAGGUCGAGAAAUAGCUAAACAUUUGACACACUGAGCUGAAAAGUGCAGGAGAAACAAAUGAAGAAGUCAUAUUGCUAGAGACUUAGCUAAAAGCUACAAAGCUACAAAGCUACAAGCUAGCGAAGACAAAAUGAGUGAAUACUAUGAAGGAGAUCUGAGCGUGAUUCAAGCUCUGAUAAGAUGCAGCAGAAGCCAUAAAAUCCUACAGUGUGAAGACGCCUGAACGCAGCAGGAUGAUAAUGUUUCAGAGAUGUGGUGAGAGGAGAAGGAAAGGACAGGACCCCCAGCUGAGACCCUUUAGUUCAAAAGAAGAUCUGAAAUCCGAUGGAGCUCUAACACGUCAAUUAUUCUUCUGCAUCAGAUGCACCAUAACCGGAACUCCAUUUUAACCCUACACCACAACCGUCUACCUAAACCUGACGUUGACCUCCUAAGAAAUACUCCUGCGACAGUUGACCUCUGACCCCUGCCGCCUCACAGUAAGGGUGUGUUUAUUUCCCUGGCUGACACUGCUGUGUCGGUUUCUAUUUUUUGUCACUCCUCCAACACUGCAACACGCACUCAUGAAAUCUGAGAAAUUAAUCAGUGCCAUUGUUCUUCGACUUCGGAACGUAACAUACCGCACUGUGUUUGUCUGUGUGUGUGAUUACACACUGUCAGCUUUCUCUCUGUUUGGUUUUGUUUAUACUGUGUUUUUCCUAUUUCUCAGGACAACAAACACAAGCACUCUUUGUCCCCGUUUGUUUGGGUAUUGUGUGUAUUUUCAUACUUUGCUGGCCUAAGUACAGCACAAGUAUUUUCUCUGCAGUAAACAAAAGCAAAACAAGCCCUC